GCUGUGCUUCAGUGCUUCUGAACCAUCUCCUGGUUGUCUCACCAAGGUGCAUUGUCCAUUGACUCCUGCUCUUCCUUCCAGAGCCUUCAUUCCACUAAAUCCCAGGAUUCUGCGUGGCAACAUUUGUUCAGACUGGUUUGUGUGCUGUCUUUCCAGUCCCAGCCUGAAACUUGGGUUUGCAGGCAAACAGAACCUCCUCUAUGAGGGCAAGAUUGGGUUUUCUGUAUUUUCUGUUCAGGUGUGGUCCUCUCAUUUCCCUGCUUCCCCACCUCUAAUAGCUGUAGAGUUACAUUUAUGGAGAAGUGGAAUUUCCUUAUCUUGUCUUGGAUUUUUCAUCUCCCCUGAGUGGGUGUACUGGCAGGACCAAUGUUCUGGAUCUCCCUGCAUCCCAACAACCAUUGUUGCCCAGUGUUGCAGAUCUAUUGUUUUGAGCAUUGGAAAAACAGAAUCCAUUCCUAGAAGAAGAUGGAAGAAUUGAAGCUGACAAAGGUUGCUUUGUCUUGGUUCAUUCAAGUGAAGUCCCAGUACAUGAAUUGCUCCAUUUAGAUCCAUGAAAAACUGACAGCAAAGACCAAGGAAGCAAAGUAAACCAAGAGCAUUCUGAGUUUGGUGCCUGUAACUGUCUCCUGGUGGCAACUUUAAGGAAGAUUUGAUUCUUGUGGUCACAGAGAAAGAUGGUCCAGCCACAGGCAUGUAAUAAAUGAUGCUUAAUAAAUUAUUCCAAAAAGCUGCC